UUUUAUUGCACAGAAGACUGCAACAAACAAUAUAUUGAAUACGAGAUAUCGAAGUCUAUAAGACUAUCGAUAUUACAUGACAUGUUAAACGAAGAUUUCAAUUCCAACCUCAAUGGAAUUUGUUUAAAGGAUUGAAAUAAAAUGUUAGAUUUAUUAUAUUAUGUUGAAUUUUUAUCUAUUUGUGACGGAUAAAACUAUUAUUUUUAAUUUAAUAAAGAAAAAAUAUUGAAAUAUUAAAUAUUUUAUUUCAAGAUAAACUGAAAAAUAAUUUUUAUAUAAAGUAAUAAAAGUGACGUAAAGUUGUAAUGAUUAAAAGCAAGUUCGCGAAGCAACUGCCAAUCUUUAGAAAUGAAUUGCAAUGGGGGGUCGUCUUUGGGUGGUAAACAUAGAUCAGAUAUCUUUAUGGAUAUUAAACCAAUUAUUACAUAUGCAGGAGAUGAUAAAUUAUUUUCUACAUUGGAAAAUAGUUUGUUUCAAGCCAUAUCUGCUGAUAUGGUAGAAUGGCGUAGAUCAUUUAGUAGACCAAUUAAACAAGUUAAAUUAGGAGCAACAUUUUUGCCAUUUUCCAAAGAUAUUUUACCAACUGAGAAAGAUUGGCAUCUUAUAAAACAGCCAAUAUUUCAUAUUUAUUGGACUGAAUGUUCUGAUGUAGAUACUUAUAAAUCAAAUAUCAGGGAAGACAUAGAUAAUUGGUUGAAGAUAUUAACACAAUAUCACAUUCAAGAUUGGAUGAUUAUUAUAGUAGAAACUUAUGAUAUAAAAAAAACUAAUAAAUUAUUACCAAGAACAACAGUUUUAGAUAAAAUUCGUAGUGAUUUUGCUGCAAAGAAUGGUGAUAGAUGUUGUGCUGUUAUAAAUCCAAUAAAAUCAGAAAUGCGAUCAGCUGAAUCAUGGAGAAGUUUAAUUAACCGUAUACGUUAUUUAAUGCUUGUUGCAUAUGAUAAAAGAUUAUCUCAUUUUGAAGACAUUAUUAGAGAACAAAGAGAAAAUAGAAAUCAUCCAAAUUGGAAUUUUUGUCAUUAUUUCUUAUUACAGGAAGAGCUUGCAUUUGUUUUACAAAUGUUAGGAUUAUAUGAUGAAGCAUUAGUACAGUAUGAUGAAUUAGAUGCUCUUUUUACACAAUUUGUUCUUAAUUCCAAUGUAGGAGAUACACCAAUUUGGUUAAAUUUAUUUCAAACUCCAUUAAACAAUUGGGGUGGUGUUAAUUUAAAUAAUGGUAUAAAUCAUCAUUUAAGAAAUCUUUUGGCUGAAUGCAAAGCAUCAUUAUUAGAUCUUAGAAGUUACUUAUUCAGUAGACAGUGUGCCAUGUUAUUAUCACUUAACAAACCAUGGGAAGUUGCGCAAAGGUGCUUAUCAUUUGUUCAUAAUACAUUAAGCGAAUUACGUAUAUUAGAAGUUCAACGACCUGAAGGGUCUAUUGAAUGUUGGUCUUUUCUUUGUGCAUUAGAAGUAUUGCAAGCUUGUCAAUUAUCAUCUUAUAAUAUCGAUAAUAAUCAACAAUUGGAUCUUUGCUCCUUACAUACAGCUAGUUUAUGGGCUCUUGCUAGAGAUAAAUUGGGAAAUUUAGGAAAAUUAUGUGGAUUAAUGCCAGGAAAUGAACCAUCUAGUGAACAGUUACAUACAGUUGUUUAUUUAAUAGCUGGUAUGGGAGAUUCUGAAUCACAUUUAGAGGGUAAAUUAACACCUACUGAUAAAUUAAAAGAAGCACUUUCAUCAAAAGAAGCAUUUAAAAAACAAUAUCUUGAACAUGCUGAAUUGGCUAUGGGUACCUAUAAACAUGUAGGUCGAAUUCGAUCAGCCAGAUUAAUUGGAAAAGAAUUAGCUCAAUUUUAUAGUGAGCUUGGGGAAAACCAAAAAGCUGUUGCAUUUUUAUCAGAUGCUUUAAAAACGUACACUGAUGAAGGUUGGAGUCAUUUAGGAGCUCAAACUCAACUUGAAUUGGCACAAUGCUACAAAAGAAUGGAUGAUGUUGAGAAAUAUACAAAAAUAUGUGCUGCAAUUGCUAGUUUAGAUGUAUUACAUAUUACUGUGCGAAAUACUUAUUUUGAAGAAAUGUUUGGAUAUAUGAAAAUGAUCUCAUCGCCACAACCUUUAUUCAUAGAAUUUGGAUGUGCUUUUGUGAUACAUAAUAUGGAAAUUAAAGUGAUGGAUAAAAUUGUUCAAGACUGUGUAGUUAAUAUUGAAAUAAAUAUACAAAGUUUAUUUCCUAGAGAAGUAAAUUGCACUAAAGCAUCUAUAUCUGUUGAAGAAAUUCAAAAACCUUUAAUAUCUAAUAAAAAAAAAGGUUCAAAAUUAACACCUGAACUAUUAAUACCAUUGUUAUCAAAAUGUACUUUAGAAGAUAUGAAACCAUUUGAUCCAAGUUUACUUCAAUUACAAGUAUAUUCAUAUUUAGAUUAUAAAGAAGAUAAAAGUCUCGGAUCUGCUAGUGUUAUACACAGAAACACUAAGCCUAUUGUAAGACGUUCUGAUAGUACAAAACAUAGAAAACCAUCUGUAAAUGCAAAAGGUGAUUUUAGCAAAGCGUUAUUAUGUGAUGAAUUCAUUGUAAAACCAGGUAUGAAUACAUUUACAUUAACUAGACGUGUUGAUCAACCUGGUUUUUACAAAGUUGGUCAAAUAUCAUUAGUUAUUGAAGAAAAAUUGGAAUUUUUAUCUCCUAUUUUAAAUCCUCGAUUGUGUUACGAAGUAGCUAAAACUCAGCCUAUAAUUUCCAUGAAAUGUGGUAGAGAUUUAUUGGCAGGCCUUAUUCAAGAUAUAGAACUAGUUAUUAUGAGUGGAAGUAUAAAAAUAACAAAGGAAAUGAAACUUAAAUUACGUACGUCUAGGGGAUUAAUAAUAAAAGUUGAUAGCUCACAAGAAAUAAUGUCUAAAGAAUUAGAAAUAUCACUGCCACUUUGUGAGCCAUUUCAAACAAUACAAUUAAAAUUUAAAGUUUUAGCUGAAUUACCACCAAAGAAAGAUUCAUUAUCAAUAGAACAUAAGUUGAAUAUACAAUGUCCAUGGGGUUUAGAAGAAAGCAUUCCUUUACAUUUUGGUCCACCACUUAUGUCAAAUAUGAAACUUCAUACAGCAAAACAAAGAAAAUUUCUUCAAAUAAUUGUAACAGGAUUAACAAAUCAUCUUCUACAAUUAAUUGAACCAGAAUUAACAACAGUAACAUCAAUAGAUGUUAAUUUUAAAAGUUUAAAUCCUAUUGCUGGUCAAAGAUUAGUAAUAGGUAAUGGAAUAAAUGUAUCAUUUAUGUGGGAACUUGAAAUUGGUAAAGAUGAAAAGUCUUUGAUGCCAAUUAAGACUGAUUUUCGUGUAAAAUAUAUAUCAAUCAAUGAUACUGAAAAUCUAAAUGAUUCACACACUAAUGAUGAUCCUUUGCAAAUUCAUAAUUUACAAAGAAUGGAAAAAGCAUCCAGUCUUUACAGAUGCAAUUUUGAUAUUACAGAUUAUGUGUGUCUUCAAAAGUUGAAGCAGCUGGAAAUGGAGGUGAAUUUUGUCGUGCUGGUAGCAUGUGCCAUCUUUAUCUUACAGUAACACGUAUGUUACCUAGUCCAAAUCCAAAUCCUUCACCACAAUUAAUGUAUGAGGUUCUUGCUGAUCAAGCUAUGUGGGCUGUGUGUGGUCGUACUGCUGGUAUUGUGUCUUUGGAAGUAUUAGAAAAACAAAGUGUCACAUUGGACGUGAUGCCAUUAACUAGUGGUUAUUUACCUCUUCCUAUUGUGAGAUUGUCUCGAUAUAUUCCUGCACCAGAAUCAAAAAGUGAUAUGAUUCGUAAAAGUGAAAUAGUUUCUAGUUCAAGACUAGAACCAUUUAGUCCUGGUCAAGUUUACAAUGCUAGUAAAGCACAGCAAGUUCAUGUUUUACCAGCAGCACCUUCAGAAGCAAAUUGAAUGCAGAUAUUGGAUUAAAAAUGUAUAAUACAUCUAUGGCAUUAUUAAGUGCAAAUUGUAUGUAUAUUUAUCAAGUCAGUUUCUAUGUUCUAUUUGGUAUAUUUCUAUGAUACUGAUUAAUAUUAU
rnacentral:misc_RNA from 1 species